rnacentral:rRNA from 1 species
UACGUAGGGUGCGAGCGUUAAUCGGAAUUACUGGGCGUAAAGCGUGCGCAGGCGGUUUUGUAAGCCAGAUGUGAAAUCCCCGGGCUUAACCUGGGAAUGGCAUUUGGGACUGCAAGGCUUGAGUGCGGCAGAGGAGACUGGAAUUCCUGGUGUAGCAGUGAAAUGCGUAGAUAUCAGGAGGAACACCGAUGGCGAAGGCAGGUCUCUGGACCGAUACUGACGCUGAGGCGCGAAAGCGUGGGGAGCAAACAGG